rnacentral:rRNA from 1 species
UGAAUUGGCGCGGUCUACACAUGCAGUCGAGCGGUAGAGAGAAGCUUGCUUCUCUUGAGAGCGGCGGACGGGUGAGUAAUGCCUAGGAAUCUGCCUGGUAGUGGGGGAUAACGUUCGGAAACGGACGCUAAUACCGCAUACGUCCUACGGGAGAAAGCAGGGGACCUUCGGGCCUUGCGCUAUCAGAUGAGCCUAGGUCGGAUUAGCUAGUUGGUGAGGUAAUGGCUCACCAAGGCGACGAUCCGUAACUGGUCUGAGAGGAUGAUCAGUCACACUGGAACUGAGACACGGUCCAGACUCCUACGGGAGGCAGCAGUGGGGAAUAUUGGACAAUGGGCGAAAGCCUGAUCCAGCCAUGCCGCGUGUGUGAAGAAGGUCUUCGGAUUGUAAAGCACUUUAAGUUGGGAGGAAGGGUUGUAGAUUAAUACUCUGCAAUUUUGACGUUACCGACAGAAUAAGCACCGGCUAACUCUGUGCCAGCAGCCGCGGUAAUACAGAGGGUGCAAGCGUUAAUCGGAAUUACUGGGCGUAAAGCGCGC